rnacentral:rRNA from 1 species
CGGCGGACGGGUGAGUAACACGUGGAUAACCUACCUAUAAGACUGGGAUAACUACGGGAAACCGGAGCUAAUACCGGAUAAUAUAUUGAACCGCAUGGUUCAAUAGUGAAAGACGGUUUUGCUGUCACUUAUAGAUGGAUCCGCGCCGCAUUAGCUAGUUGGUAAGGUAACGGCUUACCAAGGCAACGAUGCGUAGCCGACCUGAGAGGGUGAUCGGCCACACUGGAACUGAGACACGGUCCAG